UCUUUUUUUCUCUCACUUUCGUAGAAAGAAAAAUGAAUUUUAAAGCAGUGAAAAGUGACGACUGUUUUCCUCGAUUUAUACGACACGAGCCGAAAGUUACGCGGGGUUGAGGUAGUCACCAAACAAAACCGCUAGCUUCGUCACAACUGUUGUAGACCGAUCAAUAUGGCACUUUCGCUUUUUCGUGCUCCCGAUAUAAACGCUCGUAUAUUUUACUCGCACUAUAUACGGCUAACGUAAAUCGUACCGUAGUCGCUUGAAAUACAUGCGCGAACGCAGCACUUAUUACGUCAGUGGACCACAAAUCGACUCAAUGUUGCGAAACGUUUGUUAAGUUUUGCCGGAUUUCCUUCCGACACGUAAACAUAACCUGACAAGUGAAACAAUAAUCCAGUUUUUCUGUCACUCGAGACAACGAAGACGUUCGAGUCUCACCGCAGCUGCAACGACGUUUCGUAACUUUCGAUCCGAUUCAUAAAUGACACGGAAAAAAUCGCACCGAGAGAAAAAAAAAGCAGUGGAAUCGAGUAACGAUACUUGUUUUCGACACGGUCCUGCGUCCAACCUUUUUCAUGCGUCAAAAGUUGUAAACCGAGCCCAAAAGUUAGAGAUCUGGAAACAAUGUUUUUGAAAGGUUCAAAGUUUGGUACGAAGCGAAAUGACUCUCGUCCAAGAAUCCGUGAAUUGUUCAUUUUGUAUAGAAUCGUAUUAUGGUUAUGCUGUUUUGAAAAGCACGUAUUGAAAGAAAAAAUAGUUGAAAAAGGUGGACUGGUGUCCGUAGACAGUACGAUGAAGUGUCUGUAGACGCAGCAGGUCUCGCCGAAUAUCGACGUCUGUCUGAUGAGGUUGAAGAGAGAAAGAGAGGUGAUUUCGUAACGCGAUUCUCUCGCAAAGCGAGAAGAAUCAAGGUCGCGACGAUUUAUAUUGUGAAACGUGAGGAUGACAUGCGUCAUUUUUUCCUCUCUACAUAUCACGUUGUUUGUUAAUCGUGACUGAUUUUUCGCACAUCACGGAAGGACACACGAAUGAACAAGUUUCUUAUACGACCAAACCCAAAAAUUCAACAUCUUUUACAGUCUAGGUGGUGUAACUAUUCACAAAACGAAAUGGUCGACUGAUUACCAUACAUUUGGAGGAUCGAUCGAAUUCGUAGAUUACCGAGUAAAAUGUACGGAGGCUUCGUCAAUUAUUUCGAGUCGACCUGUUGGUUCGUCCACGUCUCAUCGGUACUCGACCUCACGAUAACGCGAGCGUACGAGUGUUUGUUCAGUCUCUCAGGAUUGAUGACGAGGCAGCCGUUUGUCCAUUUACAAAAAUGUCUCAUAUCCGAAGGGAGCACUAAAAUAUGAGGUUGUCGAUACAUAAAAGCGUACUGUUCCCACA